AUUAUUUUGGCAGAGUAGUGCAUUAGAUUUAGAAUCUAAUUAUAUAAUUUUUUAUAAAUAAUA
rnacentral:tRNA from 1 species